AACGUACUCCCUCCGAUCCAUAUUAAUUGUUGAAAUAUUACAUGUAUCUAGACGCUUUUUAGGCAGAGAUACAUCCAUAUUUGGGCAAAUUUGAGACAAUUAAUAUGGAUCGGAGGGAGUAGAAA
rfam:Brachypodium distachyon strain Bd21 chromosome 2, whole genome shotgun sequence.